UCUUCAACAGCGCCAAAAGGCUUCUGAUUCAACCGAUGCGGUGGUUUGCUAGCGAACUUAAAAACUGAACUCUUAGAACAUUCUUGUGUAUAUUAAUGUCAGUAUUUGCUUGUUAAAUUAAAUGAGCCAAUUUGUUAAAUUGUAAAGUUACUGCACUAGGCUAAUCGCUAAUGCUAAAUAGCUAUAGGCUAAUCGCUAAUGCUAAAAUAGCUAGCUAGCUAACAUCCCGACCAUGAGCUCACUAAGAUAUAUGGAGAAAAGAAGCUCUAGGGCUGACACAUAAUCUUAAAAGAAGAAGAGGAAGACGCUUUAAGAGUAAAAAAGGAAGAAGAGAAGACUGUCACAUUAGAAGAAGAGGUGGAUUUUACAGUGAAAACAGAGAAAAGGACCUUUUGGAGUGAAAGAGGAGACAGGAGAUCUGAUUAACACUAGUUCAGAAUCAAAAAGGAGGAAGAUGCCAUAGCAUUGAAAGAGGAAAGAACCUUUUGGAGUAAAAGAGGAAGAGGAGGCUAUCUCAAUAAAAGAGGAGGAAGACGUUUUGGGAGUAAGAGGAGGAGACUGAAGAUCCAUUUAACACCAGAGAGAGACAUGACUAUCGUGGAUCUCUGGGAAGCCUCAACAACAUCCUGAUGCUGAUGAGUCAGAGAAGAGUCUCUCCAGAUCAGAACACCAGAUUGACAACGCUAGCCCUUCCUCCCUCCGCGAUCCCCGUG